GACGAACGCUGGCGGCGUGCUUAACACAUGCAAGUCGAACGGAAAGGCCCUGCUUUUGUGGGGUGCUCGAGUGGCGAACGGGUGAGUAACACGUGAGUAACCUGCCCUUGACUUUGGGAUAACUUCAGGAAACUGGGGCUAAUACCGGAUAGGAGCUCCUGCUGCAUGGUGGGGGUUGGAAAGUUUCGGCGGUUGGGGAUGGACUCGCGGCUUAUCAGCUUGUUGGUGGGGUAGUGGCUUACCAAGGCUUUGACGGGUAGCCGGCCUGAGAGGGUGACCGGCCACAUUGGGACUGAGAUACGGCCCAGACUCCUACGGGAGGCAGCAGUGGGGAAUAUUGCACAAUGGGCGGAAGCCUGAGGCAGCAACGCCGCGUGCGGGAUGACGGCCUUCGGGUUGUAAACCGAUUUCGCAUGUGACGAAGCGUGAGUGACGGUAAUGGGUAAAGAAGCACCGGCUAACUACGUG
rnacentral:rRNA from 1 species